rnacentral:rRNA from 1 species
AUUGAACGCUGGCGGCAUGCCUUACACAUGCAAGUCGAACGGUAACGGGCCUUCGGGUGCCGACGAGUGGCGAACGGGUGAGUAAUACAUCGGAACGUGCCCGAUCGUGGGGGAUAACGAGGCGAAAGCUUUGCUAAUACCGCAUACGAUCUACGGAUGAAAGCCGGGGACCGCAAGGCCUUGCGCGGACGGAGCGGCCGAUGGCAGAUUAGGUAGUUGGCGGGAUAAAAGCUUACCAAGCCGACGAUCUGUAGCUGGUCUGAGAGGAUGAUCAGCCACACUGGGACUGAGACACGGCCCAGACUCCUACGGGAGGCAGCAGUGGGGAAUUUUGGACAAUGGGCGAAAGCAUGAUCCAGCAAUGCCGCGUGCAGGAUGAAGGCCUUCGGGUUGUAAAAUGCUUUUGUAAGGAACGAAAAGACUUCUUUUAAUACAGGAGGGUCAUGACGGUACCGUAAGAAUAAGCACCGGCUAACUACGUG